rnacentral:rRNA from 1 species
CAGUGCCGCGGUAAUACAGAGGGUGCGAGCGUUAAUCGGAUUUACUGGGCGUAAAGCGUGCGUAGGCGGCUUCUUAAGUCGGAUGUGAAAUCCCUGAGCUUAACUUAGGAAUUGCAUUCGAUACUGGGAAGCUAGAGUAUGGGAGAGGAUGGUAGAAUUCCAGGUGUAGCGGUGAAAUGCGUAGAGAUCUGGAGGAAUACCGAUGGCGAAGGCAGCCAUCUGGCCUAAUACUGACGCUGAGGUACGAAAGCAUGGGGAGCAAACAGGAUUAGAUACCCCCGUAGUCCCUGUCUCUUAUACA